CCUUCGAUAGCUCAGCUGGUGGAGUGGAGGACUGUAGACCGGACCUGAAAGGACAUCCUUAGGUUGCUGGUUCGAUUCUGGGUCGAAGGA
rnacentral:tRNA from 1 species